CAGUAGCCGCGGGAAUACAGAGGAUGCAAGCGUUAUCCGGAAUGAUUGGGCAUAAAGUGUCUGUAGGUGGCUUUUCAAGUCCGCCGUCAAAUCCCAGGGCUCAACCGUGGACAGGCGGUGAAAACUACCAAGCUGGAGUAUGGUAGGGGCAGAGGGAAUUUCCGGUGGAGCGGUGAAAUGCGUUGAGAUCGGAAAGAACACCAACAGCGAAAUCACUCUGCUAGGCCGACACUGACACUGAGAGACGAAAUCUAGGGGAGCAAAUGGGAUUAGAUACCCCCGUAGUCCCUGUCUCUUAUAC
rnacentral:rRNA from 1 species